rnacentral:rRNA from 1 species
UUCCGUAGGUGAACCUGCGGAAGGAUCAUUACCGAGAUUAGGGUCCUUCAGGGCCCGACCCUCCUACCCUUUGUGUAUUUACCUCUGUUGCUUCGGUGGAUCCCGGUGUCGCGGUGCUGGCCUCGCCUUAUCCCGUCCCCGGUCCGCCGAGGGGCCUUUCCAUUCUGAAUUACCGACGUCUGAGUAAAAUAAAGCAAGUAGACUAAAACUUUCAACAACGGAUCUCUUGGUUCUGGCAUCGAUGAAGAACGCAGCGAAAUGCGAUAAGUAAUGUGAAUUGCAGAAUUCAGUGAAUCAUCGAAUCUUUGAACGCACAUUGCGCCCUCUGGUAUUCCGGGGGGCAUACCUGUUCGAGCGUCAUUACGCCUCUCAAGCUCAGCUUGGUAUUGGGCCGCCGUCCUCUGCGGACGGGCCUGAAAAUCAGUGGCCGUGCAACCGGUGCUCAAGCGUAGUGAAAAUUUUAUCCCGCUUUGGAGCCACCGGGUGGACCCGCCAGACAACCCACUAUCAUUUUCCACGGUUGACCUCGGAUCAGGUAGGGAUACCCGCUGAACUUAAGCAUAUCAAUAA